GCCUGUUCUGUUGAUUUAUUUCUGACUUAAGUUUCCACACUGUAAUCUAUGCAGCAAUCUGAGACCAGAACUGAGGAGAC
rnacentral:snoRNA from 1 species